AGGAUGAACGCUGGCGGCGUGCCUAAUACAUGCAAGUCGAGCGGUAAGGCCCCUUCGGGGGUACACGAGCGGCGGACGGCUGAGUAACACGUAGGAACGUACCCCAAAGUGAGGCAUAAGCACCAGAAAAUGGUGUCUAAUACCGCAUGUGGUCUUCGGAUUAAAGCUUCGGCGCUUUGGGAACGGCCUGCGCAUGAUUAGCUUGUUGGUGAGGUAAUGGCUCACCAAGGCGACGAUCAUUAGCUGGUCUGAGAGGAUGAUCAGCCAGACUGGGACUGAGAACGGCCCAGACUCCUACGGAGGCAGCAGUAGGAAUUUUCCACAAUGGGCGAAA
rnacentral:rRNA from 1 species